CAGUGCUAUGCUGAGGAGAGGGGUGCCAGUGCCUGCUAAGAGCUGUCAGUGCCUGCUGAGGGGAUGAACGCUGCCUCAGUGAGAAAAUGGCCGACAGUGCCCUGCUGAGGAGAUGACCUCAGGUGCCUAAAAAGGUGACAGGUGCUGACUUCUUGAAGAAAUGGAUGACAGUGACCCUCUGAGGAGAUGGAUGGCAAUAUCUUUUGAAGAAAUGGAUGCCAGUGCCUGCCAAGAAGAUGUGUCCUGCCUUGCUGAGGAAAGAGUAUUGAUGCCCCACUGUGGAGGCUGUUGAUGACAAGGCAGGAGGAAGAGGCCAGGUUACUAAAGAAAUAAAAGAUGUGUCUGGACAGAUCAACACUGUGUCCUGCUUAAAGUAUACCCCCCAGCUGGAGAGAGAUCCACUAACAGUACAGAAAAGCAGAGCAAGGGAGCUGUGGAAGCCAUGGAAAAGCAAAACUGGAACUGAGUGUAAUUAUUAUCUGGUGCCUCCGGGAAGUUACCUGUACUUUCCAGUCUCAGAGAUUCUUUGCUCUCUUCCUCUGGGUGAUGUGGCUCCCUAUAAGAAAAUUUCCUGAGAGGCUUCUAAACUUCCCUGUAGGGUAUCAGUCACCACCUGGGUGAAAAACACAAGCUGUCAGCUGGUUUGUGUGGC
rnacentral:lncRNA from 1 species